rnacentral:snRNA from 12 species
UUACUUACCUUGCAGGGGAGAUACUUUUCUUCUCAGCCUUGAAUAAUCUGAUAUAGUUAGAAGGUGAAGGCCUGUCCCUUGCACUGUGGGCAGGCUGACCCCUGAUGGUGUCUACAAAUGCCUCCAAAUGUGAAGAUCUCAGGUACACAAUUUAUGGUGGCAAGGGAUUGCUCUCAGGCUUUCCCUCU